GACACAAGGACCUGUACAAGGAGGCCAUGAUGGAGGAGCACCAGCCUCUUAUAUCACAAGGCAUCAUGAAAAAAACCUGCAAUACGAGCCUUCUCCUGAAUGAGCCACCAAUGAUGGACAGGAAGGAGAUCAGCAGAAGAAUAUUAGACCUCACCUUGGAGAUCAUCUCCCUGCUGAGCGGAGAGGAGUACACAAUAGUGAAGAAGACAUCGGAGGACUGUGUGACUCCCAUCAUCCAUCUCCAG